UACGAAGGGGGCUAGCGUUGUUCGGAAUUACUGGGCGUAAAGCGCGUGUAGGCGGGUCUUUAAGUCAGGGGUGAAAUGCCAAGGCUCAACCUUGGAACUGCCUUUGAUACUGGAGAUCUUGAGUCCGGGAGAGGUGAGUGAAAUUGCGAGUGUAGAGGUGAAAUUCGUAGAUAUUCGCAAGAACACCAGUGGCGAAGGCGGCUCACUGGCCCGGAACUGACGCUGAGACGCGAAAGCGUGGGGAGCAAACAGG
rnacentral:rRNA from 1 species